GAAAAAUGUGGUGAAGUGGAAUCACGCAGGUUGUGGCGCCUGAGGUAUGGGUUCGAGUCCCGUCUUUUUCU
rnacentral:tRNA from 1 species